rnacentral:sRNA from 1 species
AGCCACAGUGAUUGACCAAACCCAUGAGAGCAAAUGCGAUAAAGAAGGACGGACACAAAUAGAAUCCAACCCAUUUUCUUAAGAAAAGAAUUUAGAAGGCAGUCUUGCUUCUACUCAGAAUUGAGAUAUACAUGCACCGCUGAUGGAGGCUACCACUUUCUUCCUAUUUAUUCAAUUUUCACACCUUGGAGCCUUGGUUCUUGCUUACCAAGGUCAUUAUGAAAGCCGGAC